rnacentral:ncRNA from 1 species
CAAAGGCUUGGUCCUGACUUUACUAUCAAUUUUAACUAAAUUUACACAUGCAAGUAUCCGCAUUCCCGUGAAGAUAUCCUCAAGUUUUCUUUUGAUAACAAGGAAAUGAUAUCAGGCACAAUAUUAAUUAGCCCACAACAUCAUGUUUAACCACACCCCCAAGGGAAUUCAGCAGUGAUAAACAUUAAGCUAUAAGCGAAAGCUUGACUUAGUUAUAGUUAUUAGAGCCGGUAAAACUCGUGCCAGCCACCGCGGUUAUACGAGAGACUCAAGUUGAUAAUUAUCGGCGUAAAGAGUGAUUAAAGAAAUUUAAAACUAAAGUGAAAUGCUUCCAAAACUGUUAUACGCGAUUGGAAAUAAGAAAAACAAUUACGAAAGUAACUUUAAUUAUCUAGACUACACGAAAGCUGUGAAACAAACUGGGAUUAGAUACCCCAUUAUGCACAACCUUAAACUUUAAUAAAAUAAUACAUUUUAUUCGCCAGGGUACUACGAGCAUAAGCUUAAAACCUAAAGGACUUGGCGGUGCUUUAGACCCACCUAGAGGAGCCUGUUCUAUAACCGAUAACCCCCGUUAAACCUCACCUUUUCUUGUUUUCUUCCGCCUAUAUACCGCCGUCGUCAGCUUACCCUGUGAAGGUAUUCUAGUAAGCAAAAUUGAUACAGUCCAAAACGUCAGGUCGAGGUGUAGCAUAUGAAAAGGAAAGAAAUGGGCUACAUUUCCUAUUUUAGGAUACUACGGAAAUUGAAAUGAAACACAAAUUAAAGGAGGAUUUAGCAGUAAGAAGGAAUUAGAGAGUCCUACUGAAACUGGCCCUGAAGCGCGCACACACCGCCCGUCACUCUCCCUGUACCAUACUAACUCAUUUAUAAUAAAAUUUAAAAUUUAAGGGGAGGCAAGUCGUAACAUGGUAAGUAUACCGGAAGGUGUACUUGGCUAAAC